ensembl:lncRNA
GUGGAAAAAAACGUCAUAGUUUAGUAUGUCGACCAAAAUGUGGAAAAAAAGGUCAUAGUUUAGUAUGUCGUCCAAAAUUGCGAAAAAACGUCAUAGUUUAGUAUGUCGUCCAAAAUGUGGAAAAAAACGUCAUAGUUUAGUAUGUCGUCCAAAAUGUGGAAAAAAAGUCAUAGUUUAGCAUGUCGUCCAAAAUGUGGAAAAAAAGCGUCAUAGUUUAGUAUGUCGUCCAAAAUUGUGAAAAAACGUCAUAGUUUAGUAUGUCGU